CUAUGACGGCCGCUGUGGCUGUUGUUGUUUGGGGCUGCAAUUAGAAAGUGCUGAGGCGGCAGUGGAGUCAGAACCCAUUCUGGAAGAGUAACUCCCGCCCCCGGGCCAGAGAGGGUUCCCCAGCCCCUGGAAAGACAGGACACCCCUUAGGCUGUCCCAGCACGCCUCAGCCUCGGGUCCCGAGCCAAGAUCUCUCUGUGCUGCCUGGGACUCCAGACUGAGGGCCAAACCCAGACCACUCCCUCCGCCCUCAGUUGGCCAUAAUUGUCAGGGUGCCCUCCCAAACCGCAUCUCCUCCAGACAGCGGACCACAGAACCGUCUCUGACCGAACUGCCUUGCCCAGGAGACAGGAAUGAAAUCCAGCUUAGAGGACUGUCCCUGUUGAAGUAAGCCCCAGAGUCAAGUAGAACCAGAAAGAAGUUUGGGGAUUUGACUUUCAUGCUUUAAGAGCAGCAGAACUUGAGAAAUGUAUUCCUUAGAUCUUGGGGGGGAUGCCGAAUAACCCCCAUUCAGGAGGAUUUCUUCGCCAAAGGACAAAAUACAGAAAUUCCUGAGGACUGUGAUUCUUAAGAAUGGGAAGGCCUGAAAAAGCUGGUCAGUGGCAACUGAAGCUUAGACUUGGUUCUGGAAACAGUUACAGGAAGCGUGCAGCAACAGAUUGUAAAUAAAACCAGAUGAAGAAACAGGAGUAGUGUCAAGAUGACCAUGUGAAAGCAACUCGUGAACAGAAGGUGAAGUUUGAAGAUAAGGCACAACUGAGGGUCCCAGGACUUUGAAUUUUCUUUAAAUAUCACGACCUGAAUUUAAAUUGCCUUUUUUUAGGGGAAUACAAAAGGGGUAUCAUUGGAUGGAAUUAAAAACAAGCCAUUAGCCUGA